GUUGUUUGAAGCGUCUAUGAUAAACAGAGAGCAAAUUAGAAUCCAAGGAAGUUGACAUGUCAUCACUUCAUUUUUUUGCGCCUGCUCAUCAAUCUGAAAAACGUGAGUUUGUCAUCAUUUUUUAUCUAGACAUAGGAUAGGUUGUGUGAAAAUAUUACUGAUGUUUAACGUUAAAAAUGGACCAAAAGAUUAAUGCUAAACAACAUUUGACAUUUUUGAACGAACAUAAAUAGAUUAUUUACUAGGUUUUUUUAGCUUUUCGGCGUGAUUUUACCAGCCCCCCACCACGUUUUGUGGGAGCAUAAUGAACGCUAAGUACUUGGUGUUAUUUGGACAUAAAUUAUGAACUUUGUCAAAAGAAACCACAUUUGUUCCGGACCUGGAAUGCCUUCCGGACCUGGGAUCCUGCCUUCUGAUGGAGAUAAUCAAAGGGCUCUUUAUACUGUGCUCCUGUUUGGUGGCUUUACCAGCAACAUCCGAGAGGACUAUUACUAAGGUACAGCUGCUGACUGGGAGAAGGGAAGACACCAUAAAUGUACCUCAUACGAGGACGAAGACAGCCAUGACAGAAUCACCCACCACUCAAGGACCAAGCAGCAGAAGAAGGAGCAGAGGGAAUUCGAGUUGGACUGGCGGGAGAAAUGGACCUGGGAGGAAGUUCUGGACGGGGCCGGACCUUGGCACCAGGCUGGGGAUUAUUGACGCCCGCAGUGGGAAAUUGAGGCAGCCAAGGCAGAGAGGCGGUGGUACGAGGCCAAGUACGCGCUGAAGGAGAAGCACGAGAGGCACCCCCAAGAAUUUUUUUGGGGGGGGCACACGGGUAGUUUGGCUAGGCGUAAGAAGAGCC
rnacentral:lncRNA from 1 species